AGUGAACGCUGGCGGUAGGCCUAACACAUGCAAGUCGAACGGCAGCACAGUAAGAGCUUGCUCUUACGGGUGGCGAGUGGCGGACGGGUGAGGAAUACAUCGGUAUCUACUUUUUCGUGGGGGAUAACGUAGGGAAACUUACGCUAAUACCGCAUACGACCUACGGGUGAAAGCAGGGGAUCUUCGGACCUUGCGCGAUUGAAUGAGCCGAUGUCGGAUUAGCUAGUUGGCGGGGUAAAGGCCCACCAAGGCGACGAUCCGUAGCUGGUCUGAGAGGAUGAUCAGCCACACUGGAACUGAGACACGGUCCAGACUCCUACGGGAGGCAGCAGUGGGGAAUAUUGGGCAAUGGGCGCAAGCCUGAUCCAGCCAUACCGCGUGGGUGAAGAAGGCCUUCGGGUUGUAAAGCCCUUUUGUUGGGAAAGAAAAGCAGCAGGUUAAUACCCCGCUGUUCUGACGGUACCCAAAGAAUAAGCACCGGCUAACUUCGUG
rnacentral:rRNA from 1 species